UGUAGAACUCAGAGAUGGAGCCGGCGCCACCUGACUAGGGAGGACUAGUUUAGAUCUCCAGAUUCUUAAAUAGGGCUCUGCACGGUGUUAUUUAUGACACCGUGAUGUUGACACUUCGAGUUCUUUUAAAGUUAUAUUUUUAUUUGCAUUCCUGUGUGAGGGAAGGGAGGGGGAGAGGAUGGGAGGAGCUUCCUGUGUGCAAGCCUGCAGGUGCGCCAGUGCUCAGCAGAGGGCACUGAAUGCUGCGGCACUCGGGUUAACAGAUGGUAGUGAGCUGUCUGAACUACUUAAAAUUUUCAGGUAAAAGGGCAGCAAGCAUUCUUAAACUGCUGAGCGGCCCUCUAGGUGUUCUUUGCUGGGGCAGGGGAGUUAGCAGGGAGGAAGUGGAGAGAACUGGGAGAGUUGAGACCCUCCUUCUGAGCGUUAAGCUGCAUGUAGAUAAUAUCUGCAGGUGUGGCACAAUUGAAAAGGCAGUGGCUUUCAGGCUAGUCACUGCACGGACUAGUAAGGCAGCUCUCUUGCUCCCAGCACCGUGCAUCUGAUUCUCCGUUCUCAGCAAGGUGGGAACUCGGGUGUGUCGAGGAUGGGAACGAAGCCAGAGACCAGAGGUACAAUUACUUCUGACACUCUUCACAGGUUUGUUGAAGGACCACCUGACAUGGUUAAACAGCCCUGGCUUAACGUUCCAGACACUGCUGCCAAUACUUGCGGCUGUUAGUUCCUGAUUUCUGCUUAAGGCUUUGCAGUUCUGCUUAUAGUCCUGUGAUCAGAGACACUUCCUCCUGUGGCAGCUGAAUUCCACGUUUCCCGAAACAGGAUUUCCCUAUUUUGUAGAGAACUUCCAUGAUUGAAUCUUCCUGCUUCUGGAAAUAAAAUGGGUAGUCCCUUGCAUACAAAGCUUGGAGGGUGUCUCUCAUUCUUCUCUUCUUCUGCUUUUUCUCAUCUACCUGAGAAUAAUUUUAAAUGGAUCGAAGGAAUGAAUGUCAGCCACCAAACUGAGAAGUUGACUUGCCUUUAAUCACCUGUAACUUUGUUAGAAUAAUAAAUUCUGUAGAAAGUGAUGGCUGACUUGUGUUUGUGUUAGUGUUUCAACAGCACACCGUGGGACAAUAGUAACAGGGCCAAAGGAAUACAUCUUCAACAUGUACAUAAAUUCCACCAAGUGGCUGCAUGGAAAAGCAAAAAUAAAGAAGGAGUUAGCUACACCUGAAAGGUUCUUCUUUAUGAACAGAUCACUCAGAAGAGGAUCAGCUGCUGAUCAUACGUCUGACUCAGCUAUAUCUCAUUGCUAUGGCUCUUGGCCACAAGAUAUCUGACUCUGUGUCACCAGCCUAACAGAAGAUCACAUUGUGCUGCCAAAGCACAGAACACACCCAGCUUCUUGGAUUUCAUCUGUCUUGCAUUUCCUUAUGUAUCAGUUACAGGAAAAGCAGCAACUGAAAUACAGCUCUCAAAUGCUCUGGAUGGUAAAUAAAACAAGGCAUAUGCUAUAAUACCCUCUGAGAGAAAUGCCCUUGCCCUGGUGUGUGUGUAAGGUCCUACAAGUAUGUAGAAUAUGUCGUUUACCUAGCUUCCAUUUACUAAGAAUUAGUUGGCUGGCCUAUAUUUUGAAGGGAGUGACAUUUUCUUGGCCAGGCCUUUCUGGCUCAUUCCUCUCAUAAACAAGCAAAAGGAUCUGCUUGUCCAGAAUGAGAAAAGUCUUUCUGGAUAGUUGUCACUCUUGUGCCUAGGAGACGACUGUCGAGCUUCUAUGACCACCUCCUCCUGUCAACUCAGUCUUUGAAGCAAUGCAGAGACUAUGCUGUGAAGAAAGAACAGUAACUCACAGCACCGAUACUAAGGGAUACCACUACCCUUGGAUUUGGCUUCCAUCUGAUGGAAAAGAGCUUCAGCCUAUAGCUAAUAACUGGGAUCAUUUGAAUAGCAAAGAAUUUAACACUAGAGAAAAUAUAUUAAGACACUUAAUAUAAGACAAAUUAUGACUACCACAGGAAGGAGCAUCCUGGGACUAGUCCACCAAACAGACCAUGUCUCUCCAAAUAUAUGCAUGUGUGUUAUGCUGCCACAAUGACUAGGUGAGGGGUGUUAGAUGACGUGUAGCCACUGGCAAAGGUCUCUUUUGUCUUUAUCUCUCCAAUUAUAUGCAUGUGUGUUGUGCUGCCACAGUGACUAUGCCUUCUAAAGCAUAAAGACUAAAGGUGAGCAGUGAUUUAGAAGAUGCUGUAGCUACUGGCAAAGGUCUCUUUGUUUUUCCCCACCAUGUACGCAAGGCUAGCUAGCCUGUAGGCUUUGAAGAUUUUCCUGUCUGCCUUCCCUCUCUCCAUAGGAGUACUGAGAUUUCACAUGUAUGCUACAGAGGUUGGCUUUACUUAAGUUUGGGGGAUUUGAGCUCAGAACUUCAUAUUCACAGGAUAAGCACUCUACCCACUAAGUCAUCUCCCUAUCCCUUUGUUCUAGUUCCAUUGAAUAUUGGGAACUCUUCCAAUUCCUCCCUGGUUUCAUCAACAGCCCAUUGUUCAAAACAGUGUUGUGUUGUUCUAUCUCAGAAGUAUGUGUGUGUGUUUCUGAGGCCAGUCUAGCUAUUGACCUCUAGUUUCAUCCCACUGUCGCCUAGAAAUACUUGAGGACUUAUUUUGUUGUUUUUCAAUUUAUUAAGGUUUGCUUCACGGCCAAUGGCAUGGUCAGUUUUAAUGGAAGGUCUAUGGGUCAUUGUGAAAACUAUUUUCUUUCUGUUCUGUGGAACAUUCUAUACACUUCUAUGAAAUCCAAUGGAUUUACUGUUUAAUUCAACUAUAAGUUUUCUCUGCUGGUUUUUUAAUUUGGGAGAUCUAUCUCAAUGUGAGAUGGGGUACUGAGCCUCCAUCCUUAUUAUGCCAGGGCCUGGGUGGCCUUUUAUGCACUUUAGUGUUUACUAUGUCCUAUUUAUUAAUAUUCCCUUUCAUGAGUGUGCAGGGGCCCCUAUACUUCUUCCAACCUGUUCAGGUUGCAAGUCUAUUUUAAGAGGUAUAAGAAUCACUGUGGAAGCUUUUCUGCAGCUUCCACUUGCUUGGUAUUUCCUCCUCCAACCUUCCAUCUAGAACUUGCUCAAAGUCCUUGGGGAUCAAUUCCUGCUCUGCCUGGGUUCAACCUCACAUCUUAGUGAACUGCUUCUGAGUACACUGGGUGCUUGCCCUUUCGGGCCACCUUCUUCCAAUGCCUUGAUGGUAGGACUAGUCAAUCCACCUGAGGAGCCAAGCAGAAAUGUCGAGCUCCUCCUAACCUCCUAGUUCCUCUUCCUUGUUCCUUCUGCCUGAUAUGAAGGGAGGGUAGAGUAGUGUUUGCCAGGUAGAAUCAGCUUCUCUCUCUCUCUCUCUCUCUCUCUCUCUCUCUCUCUCUCUCUCCUUUGUAGCUGUUACUUGUUUUUUUCCCCCAAUCCAGACCCAAAACCUUUCCUCUAUAUCUCUUCUGACUUUUCUUAUUUUGACUCUCAUCUUUAUUGGCUCACACUUGAGGCAGCCUCUAGUCUAUGAUCUUUGAAUGAAGCCCUCUCUAAAUAUUAAGUUCAAAAUGUCAGGAAAUGAUAAACCCAUGUGGGGUAAUAAAAGAAUAUGCACAGAAAUGGGAAUUGCCUAUGUGCGGAUUAUCUUGAGUGUUGCUGACUACGGCUUGUUAGAGACACUGGAAAGCUUGCAUUAAUAUCACUUCUGAAUGUACAAAGGUUUUGGUUGUUAUGUAUGUUUGGUCUGAUAGUUGAGGAAGUUUUCAUAAUACCCUGCCUCCUUUGCUUCCUAUCUACACUAUAGAACAUAUCUUCAUCCAUGAAGAUCUCUCUUGGUGCUUCUAGGGUAUGUUCAACAAGAAAGGCAUUGUCUGCCAGAAAAACUAGCUAUAUUUGAUCUAUCUGAUAAAAUAAUUAAAUAAAUAAAAAUUCUGGAACAUGCUGAAAUAACUGGAAGAUCAUGACAUACACUAGAGACUGCAGGAGGUUAUGAUAAUAACCUCCCUAAUAGUUUUAAGGAUUUGUUCUGGUCACAUGCAUUUAAUAAGGAAGUAAUAUAAAAUGUUUGUCCCUAGCCUAGAGGACAGCCAGAUGGACAUUAGCCAAAUGUAAAUAGACUUUCUUCCUUCUUUAUAUUUGUGUUGCAAAGUUCAAAUGUGAUAAAGAAUAAUCAUUCUAUUUUAGUUGGCCAUUCAAGCAAAUGGCAGUUUGAGUAAUGUUUAACCCAGUGAUCAUAACAGAAUUUACCCUUAGCUUCAUCUUUUCCUGUAAUCUAAGACAAUGGUGCUCGAUUUCUAGUUAUCAUAAGGAAAGCAAUAGCAGUUUUAAAGUCUUUUUCCUUCAAUGGGAAUAAUCUAAGUACUUUAUAUUUCCAUAAUUAUUUAAUCCAAAUACAGUGUUGAUUUUCUGGCUUCUGUAACAAGUGCCCAGACCUUGGCACAACUGACUCCAUGAUUGAAGUACCAUUCAGGCCAUUAAACUCAGCACAUAGAUGGUACCACCUGCCAAAAUGAAAACAAAGACCUGAUCCAUCAAAGUCCAUAGUGAUGGAAAUGCCCCUAAAUGACUAACCUUGCUCUUUUUUACUUCUUUAAUUCUGCUUCUGACUAAAUGUGCUUGUUAACUGAAGUGUGUCAACCCGGGAUUUUUUUUUUUUCAUAAAGGCUUGGUGGUACACUGGGAUCCUGAAUACCAAGUAUGCUCUCCAGCCAGCUGAUAAAGAUUUCUAUUGGCUUAAAUUUUAAUCCAGGCAGUGUUCUCUGUUGGAUACCCCACAAUAAUUUCCAUUAGCUUUUAUGUAGAAAUUCUACUUCUCCAAAGAAACCCUGUCUCGAAAAAAAAAUUUUUAAUUAAAUAAAUAAAUUCUACUUCUCUGGUGGACCUUCAUAGGAGCUGAUGCCAGGAGUAACUUAGACACUCCUUUCCCCUGCAUCCAGGGUCCUGACCCUUGGGCCAGCUCAAUGCUUAAUGGUUCUAAAAUACAACAAAAUAGGCAAUCAACAUUGUAUUGACUGGCAGCUCACAGCUUCUUACCCCUGUGACAGAAAAAUAAAAUAAAAAUUAAAAAUCCCCAAACAGAAAGCCAGGUUAAUGGACAACCCACCACUGAGACACCUUCUUUUGAGACAACAUAAAACUUCAGCUUACUGUUAGCCACUCACUGCACUCCAGACAUAGUAAUGACACAUUUCAGUAAAUGUUCUAAUUUAGCCAAUGAAGCUGAGACUAAUAGUUUCGCCUUCCAGAUGAGCUUUUGGGCAAGAGGUUAAUAUGUCUAAGUUCCCCGAAAGUGGAAGAAGAUAUAGUCAAAUGAUCUGCUGGAAACUUCUGUAAAAACAAGAAAAAGUAAGACGAACAAAGGUCAAAACUUACUGCCAAGGGCUCAACUAGUUUAAAAUCUUUCGGUUUCUACCUUACUAAUAUAGUUCUUAUGUUAAAAGUUACCUGUAAAUGAGUCAUGGGGUUAUAAAGAUAUGAAUAAUCACUUAACAUCCACUCACCUCUAGAUUGUUACCAGCCACGGUGCCAGGAGGGCCACAGUUACCCUGUAUGAGGGUCACCUGAAACUGAAAAUCACACUUGUUUUUGGCUUGUUCUGAGAAGUCAGAAAAGGCAAUAAUUUUCUCUGUGAGUACUGAUAGAAGAAAAUUCAGAGUCAAGAACUUGGGUUAGGAAGUACUAGUAUGAUUUACAGCUGAAAUAUCUGUAGGUGUCAGCUAAAUAGGAAAGUAAUUUAUAAGGUUGAGAAAAUACCUUCCAGUUUAAGGAAGUUUCAAAGAGAUAGAAGUGAAGCGAAUAUGUCUGAGACAUUACAGAAGCUUAAUUAAACACACAUUAUCAAAAGAAGGAAGACUAAAAAUAACUCCACGUAACUGUGUAAAUGUGAUGUCCGAGUCAAGUUGUCCUGAUUAGUUCCACAUGCAUCCCUAUGUCCAAUAACUGAUACAGUAUAAAUGAAGUUUUCAGUACUGAAGAUGAAAUUGGGCCUUGUGAGAACUGUAUUCACAAGGUAUUCACCCAACCCAAUGCCAUUUGAGAUUCUAUGACCUGUGGCCCGAUUGCUCUGUAGGAAGUCGCAAUGUGAAGGAAGGGGGCACAUGGCUAGAGUUGUGGUAACGCCAUUUAGAAAGGAGAUUUGCUUCUUUCUCCCAACUUUUGACAUUAAGGAUCUGUUCAGAAGACAAAAAUUAGUGACUAAUUGUCUAUCUCUGAGCAAAAGCAAGGAGGGAGCCUAGAUAUAUGAACUGAUCCAGAAAUGCAGAGAAACACUGCUUAGUGGCCUGCUGCUCAUGGUCGGCUCAGCUUGCUUUCUCAUACAACCCCCAACCACCUGCCAGGGUUGGCACCACCCAAAGAGAUUCCCUCUUCCUAGAUGUCUCUAUCUCAUGUCAAGUUGACAAAGAACUAACCAGCACAUUCAUCAUGUAAAAUCUUUCUGAAUUGCUAAUCACUCUAGAGAGUGGCUACAGCCUUUCCCUUCAGAGUGCAAAUCCAGAAGUUUUAUGCAGGGAUGAGCACUGGCUGGUGGCUGUUCUGUCUGGUCCUAACAGUCCAUAAGAUAGAAAUGUGACACUAGCAAGAUUAUGCUGAAAGGACCCUGAUAUAGCUGUCUCUUGUCAGAGUAUGCCUGGGCCUAGCAAA
rnacentral:lncRNA from 1 species